GCACAGCGAUGCAGUGGUCAGCACAGUUGCCUCGCAAAAAGGAGGUUCCGGGUUCGAGCCCCGGCCGGACA
rnacentral:tRNA from 1 species